UUAUUCCUGUACCGACUGUAAGUGCGAUGUGGGGACGGAAGGUUAGCUCAGCCAACUGUUGGAUAUGUUGGUUCAAGCGUGUAGUCGUAUCCCUUAGGCAAAUCCGGGGGAAUUAGAUGAGGCGUGAUAACGAGUCUGCUUGCAGACGAAGUGAGUGAUACCCUGCUUCCAGGAAAAGCCACUAAGCUUCAGCUUACAGUUGACCGUACCGCAAACCGACACUGGUGCGCGAGAUGAGUAUUCUAAGGCGCUUGAGAGAACUCUGGAGAAGGAACUCGGCAAAUUGACACCGUAACUUCGGAAGAAGGUGUGCCUUUAGUAGGUGAUGGGAUUUACUCCUUGAGCCCAAUGAGGCCGCAGAGAAUCGGUGGCUGCAACUGUUUAUUAAAAACACAGCACUCUGCAAAGACGAAAGUCGACGUAUAGGGUGUGACUCCUGCCCGGUGCUGGAAGAUUAAAUGAUGGGGUGCAAGCUCUUGACUGAAGUCCCAGUAAACGGCGGCCGUAACUAUAACGGUCCUAAGGUAGCGAAAUUCCUUGUCGGGUAAGUUCCGACCUGCACGAAUGGAGUAAUGAUGGCCACACUGUCUCCUCCAGAGACUCAGCGAAGUUGAAAUGUUUGUGAUGAUGCAAUCUCCCCGCGGAAAGACGGAAAGACCCCAUGAACCUUUACUGUAGCCUUACAUUGGACUUUGAACAGAUCUGUGUAGGAUAGGUGGGAGGCUUUGAAGUAGGGACGCUAGUUUCUAUGGAGCCAACGUUGAAAUACCACCCUGGUGUGUUCGAGGUUCUAACCUUGGUCCCUUAUCGGGAUUGGGGACAGUGUAUGGUGGGCAGUUUGACUGGGGCGGUCUCCUCCCAAAGUGUAACGGAGGAGUUCAAAGGUACGCUAAAUACGGUCGGAAAUCGUGUUGAUAGUGCACUGGCAUAAGCGUGCUUGACUGCGAGACUGACAAGUCGAGCAGGUACGAAAGUAGGACAAAGUGAUCCGGUGGUUCUGUAUGGAAGGGCCAUCGCUCAACGGAUAAAAGGUACUCUGGGGAUAACAGGCUGAUACCGCCCAAGAGUUCAUAUCGACGGCGGUGUUUGGCACCUCGAUGUCGGCUCAUCUCAUCCUGGGGCUGUAGCCGGUCCCAAGGGUAUGGCUGUUCGCCAUUUAAAGAGGUACGUGAGCUGGGUUUAAAACGUCGUGAGACAGUUUGGUCCCUAUCUUCCGUGGGCGCUGCAAGAUUGAGAGAGCCUGCUCCUAGUACGAGAGGACCGGAGUGGACGCACCUCUGGUGUAUCGGUUGUCACGCCAGUGGCAUCGCCGAGUAGCUAAGUGCGGAAGAGAUAACCGCUGAAAGCAUCUAAGCGGGAAACUCGUCUCAAGAUGAGUCUUGCCGGGGCCUAGAGCCCCCUGAAGGGUCGUUCGAGACCAGGACGUUGAUAGGCUGGGUGUGGAAGCGCAGUAAUGCGUUAAGCUAACCAGUACUAAUUGCCCGUGAGGCUUGAUCAA
rnacentral:rRNA from 1 species